UAUUGAGGAAGCUCCUCCAGUUAUUAUUAAGGAGACUCCUGUUAUUGUUCAGGACGCAGAAAAGGUUAAUUCCUUGGCUGCUGAGGUAGAGAGUUUGAAGGUUUCAUUGCUAUCAGAAAGAAAAGCAGCUGAAGAAGCUCGUAAUGCUUGUUCAGAUGUUGAGACCAGAAAUGCCGAGCUGGUAAAGAAACUUGAAGAGUCCGAGAGAAAAGUGGACCAACUUCAAGAUUCGGUGCAGAGAUUAUAAGAAAAACUUGCCAAUUCAGAAUCCGAUAUUCAAGUACUUCGCCAGCAGUCACUGGCAAUAUCACCAACUGGGAAAUCUUUGACUGCAAGACAAAGAAGAAUGAUUAUUCC